UACAGAGGUCUCAAGCGUUGUUCGGAUUCAUUGGGCGUAAAGGGUGCGUAGGCGGCGCGGUAAGUCGGGUGUGAAAUCUUGGAGCUUAACUCCGAAACUGCAUUCGAUACUGCCGUGCUUGAGGACUGGAGAGGAGACUGGAAUUUACGGUGUAGCGGUGAAAUGCGUAGAUAUCGUAAGGAAGACCAGUGGCGAAGGCGGGUCUCUGGACAGUUCCUGACACUGAGACACGAAGGCCAGGGGGAGCAAAACGGGG
rnacentral:rRNA from 1 species